GUCGUCGCCAACAGAUGGCAGCGCGGUAGGCAAUGUUUUGCUCAUGGCAGUACGUGUUUGUUAACUCUGUAGUAUUAACACAUGAUUAACACCUGUAUUCAAGACGUCGACCUCUUUACAGUUUCAUUGUGAAACCCUUCCUGUGGAGAGGUGAUCCUUGGCACCAGUAGUGUGGAAGAGGAGCGAGAGGCACACCAACACCAGCAGAUGAGUCUCCGUUUAAUACUUGGGAUAUUAUAACAGUAAGUUAUAGCUCCGAUAGUCUUCCAGCAGCAGCAAAUGUUACACAGUCCUAUAGAGGCAAACUUGAAGUAUAAGGUAAUAGUGUUUUGCAUACAAUGGCAAACUUGACCUUUCGCUUAAAAUGGAGUAUCGGCUUUGAAAUUUGGUCACUGGAUACAACUAUAUUAUCUUUCAUGUUGAUAGCAGCAAUCAUCAGAUUGCAAUCCAGUUAAGUACCUGUGAGGCAUGAGAUGUCAAAAAUACUUGUGGGUUAUUGGUAGCCUGUGUCAAGGCAUGUGGCACCUCAAAGUUUAUAACUACUCAUAUAUGCAGCAACUGCUGAAGCAGCCUCUGGCAGUUUAUUGAAGUUCCGUGAACAAAGUGUUGUGUGGUCUGUUUGUGUAAAGUGAUAAAGAAAAAUGUUAAAGUGUAAUUGCAUAUGUAAUUGUGUAUAUAUUUAAUCAUUAUUUUUGUUAGUUGUAAGAUCUAUUUUCAUGUAAAUCAGAACAUUGUAUAAUAGGUAACAACUGAAUGAGGCAGUGUAGCUAUUAACAGCACUGACCUCAUAUUCGGGAGGAUGGGGUUCGCUCUGUCUGGCCAUCCUGGAUCGCUAAGGCAAAUGCCGGGAUGGUUCCUUCAUCAAGGCCACGGCUGACCACCUGUCCCGCCCUUAAAGAGAUCCUUUAAACAUUGUGUGUAUACCCAUAUUUUGAAUUAUUGAUGUUUGUUGUAUUAUGUUGAGAUAUUCUUGGAUGAAAUAAAAAAAGUUUAUACAUUUGUA